UUCCUGCAGCAAGCAGAGAAAAGUCUGCCGAGCAGCGAGGCCGGAUCCCCAACUCUGCCACUUUGCAGGGGCCGGGGCCCUCUUACCGUACGAGUCGUCUUGGUCCAGGAGGGAAUCGGGCUCCAUGGCGAAUGGGCCCCCAGCCCCUGGCCCCACCUGAUUUAUGAACCAAGGCUGUCUCCAUGAGCGUCUGGGUUUCUCCUUUUGUAUUCCAUCUGGCGGCUUUUCCAACUAGAUGACUGGCCGGGCUGGAAACAUUAGAAGGGACCGAGGCAGCGAGAUGUCUAAAAUAGGAAGACGCCGGGACGCUUGGCCUGGCUGCCUGCAACGCUGGCUUUGGGGUCUGGCCGGGGCUGUGAAAGUGGAAAAGCUAAGAGACAUUUCCUGCAGUGUGGGGGAUGCAGAACUGACUCAUCCCUCCAUUCAGUUAGUCAUUAACUUUUUUCUGAGCAUCUACUCCACGCCAGACACUGCCAGGUGCUGGGGUAACAGCGGGGAGCAAGGCCCGGCGUCUGGGCUCAUGGAGCUCACAGCUGCGCCUGCUUUGAGCCACCGCCCUACCGAUGGACGCCUAAGGUGUUGCCAGUCAUCCAGGAUGAGAAACAAUACUGUGACGGGUCUCUCGAACAUUCUCUGUGCACAUCUGUCUCAUGACCUCCCUAGGGUAAAACCCUAGAUGUGAACUUUUGGGGUCAAAAAAUGUCAGCCUUUGUACAUUCCUGGAGUAGCAACAAAAGGCAUUCAAGUC